UACGGAGGGGGCGAGUGUUGUUCGGAAUUACUGGGCGUAAAGGGCGCGUAGGCGGCCUUCUAAGUCGAACGUGAAAUCCCUGGGCUACAACCCAGGAACUGCGUCCGAUACUGGAAGGCUUGAAUCCGGGAGAGGGAUGCGGAAUUCCACGGUGUAGCGGUGAAAUGCGUAGAGAUGUGGAGGAACACCAGUGGCGAAGGCGGCUUUUUGGUCUGUAACUGACGCUGAGGCGCGAAAGCGUGGGGAGCAAACAGG
rnacentral:rRNA from 1 species